rnacentral:rRNA from 1 species
CGGCGAGUGAAGCGGUAACAGCUCAAAUUUGAAAUCUGGCCUCACGGUCCGAGUUGUAAUUUGUAGAGGAUGCUUCGAGCAUGGUCUGGCCUAAGUUCCUUGGAACAGGACGUCAUAGAGGGUGAGAAUCCCGUAUGCGGCCAGGUGCCUACGCUCAUGUGAAGCUCCUUCGACGAGUCGAGUUGUUUGGGAAUGCAGCUCAAAAUGGGUGGUAAAUUUCAUCUAAAGCUAAAUAUUGGCCAGAGACCGAUAGCGCACAAGUAGAGUGAUCGAAAGAUGAAAAGCACUUUGGAAAGAGAGUUAAACAGUACGUGAAAUUGUUGAAAGGGAAGCGCUUGCAACCAGACUUGCGCGCGGCCGAUCAUCCGGUGUUCUCACCGGUGCACUCGGCCGUGCUCAGGCCAGCAUCGGUUUUGGCGGCUGGAUAAAGGCCCUAGGAAUGUAGCUCCUCUCGGGGAGUGUUAUAGCCUAGGGUGCAAUGCAGCCUGCUGGGACCGAGGACCGCGCUUCGGCUAGGAUGCUGGCGUAAUGGUUGUAAGCGGCCCGUCUUGAAACACGGACCAAGGAGUCUAACAUCUAUGCGAGUGUUUGGGUGUCAAACCCAUACGCGUAAUGAAAGUGAACGGAGGUGAGAACCCUUAAGGGUGCAUCAUCGACCGGUCCUGAAGUUUACGGAAGGAUCUGAGUAAGAGCAUAGCUGUUGGGACCCGAAAGAUGGUGAACUAUGCCUGAAUAGGGUGAAGCCAGAGGAAACUCUGGUGGAGGCUCGCAGCGGUUCUGACGUGCAAAUCGAUCGUCAAAUUUGGGUAUAGGGGCGAAAGACUAAUCGAACCAUUGACCUGUAGGAACACUACUAGGUGGUUAAGAGGCGGCUAAAAGUGCCGUCUAGUCCCGACGCCGGGGCGACACUGUCAAAUUGCGGGAACAUCCUUAGAGCCUAGACUACCGCAGCCUUCCUGAAAGGGGGGUGCGCACCAGGGUAAUGACCUCGGGUAUGGUAAUAACGUCUAGGAUUGGACAAUCCGCAGCCAAGCCCUACGGACCUCGGUCUAUGGGUGCAGUUCAUCGACUAGAUGGCAGUGGGUGGCAGCAAUGCCGCUUAAGAUAUAGUCAGACCCCCGGGAGACCGGGCGGCAGAACGAAGACCGUGGGGGGCGUCCUCUCUGAGAGCCCCGCGGUCCCGAGUCUGCUGGUGGCGUCGCAGCUUGCUGCGGUGCCUGGAGUAAGUGCUAGUAGCUGGUUCCUGCCGAAGUUUCCCUCAGGAUAGCAGUGUUGAAUUCAGUUUUAUGAGGUAAAGCGAAUGAUUAGAGGCCUUGGGGUUGAAACAACCUUAACCUAUUCUCAAACUUUAAAUAUGUAAGAAGUCCUUGUUACUUAAUUGAACGUGGACAUUCGAAUGUACCAACACUAGUGGGCCAUUUUUGGUAAGCAGAACUGGCGAUGCGGGAUGAACCGAACGCGGAGUUAAGGUGCCGGAAUAUACGCUCAUCAGACACCACAAAAGGUGUUAGUUCAUCUAGACAGCAGGACGGUGGCCAUGGAAGUCGGAAUCCGCUAAGGAGUGUGUAACAACUCACCUGCCGAAUGAACUAGCCCUGAAAAUGGAUGGCGCUUAAGCGUAUUACCCAUACUCCGCCGCCAGGGUAGAAACGAUGCCCUGGCGAGUAGGCAGGCGUGGGG